GCCGACGUAGCUCAGCGGUAGAGCAACCGCCUUGUAAGCGGUAGGUCGAGAGUUCAAUUCUCUCCGUCGGCU
rnacentral:tRNA from 3 species